rnacentral:rRNA from 1 species
GAUGAACGCUGGCGGCGUGCCUAAUACAUGCAAGUCGAGCGAAGCGGGGACGCGUGAGUAACACGUGGAUAACCCCCUUUACGUCUGGGCUAACUUCCGGGAACCGUUGCUAAAACUGCUCCUUAUAGAUGGAUCCGGGGUGUAUUAGCUAGGUGGUAAGGUAACGGCUUACCAAGGCCACGAUGCAUAGCCGACCGGGGAGGGUGAUGAGCCACACUGGAACUGAGACACGGUCCAGACUCCUACGGGAGGCAGCAGUAGGGAAUAUUCCGCAAUGGGCGAAAGCCUGACGUAGCAACGCCGCGUGAGUGAGGAAGGUCUUCGGAUUGUAAAAUGCUAUUAGUAGGGAAGCGGUACCUACACAAAAAGCCACGGCUAACUACGUGCCAGCAGCCGCGGUAAUAC